UACGGAGGGUGCAAGCGUUAAUCGGAAUUACUGGGCGUAAAGCGUGCGUAGGCGGUUCGUUAAGUCUGUUGUGAAAGCCCCGGGCUCAACCUGGGAAUGGCAAUGGAUACUGGCGAGCUAGAGUGUGUCAGAGGAUGGUGGAAUUCCCGGUGUAGCGGUGAAAUGCGUAGAGAUCGGGAGGAACAUCAGUGGCGAAGGCGGCCAUCUGGGACAACACUGGACGCUGAGGCACGAAAGCGUGGGGAGCAAACAGG
rnacentral:rRNA from 1 species